UUAGGUCGGGAACUCAAAGGAGACUGCCAGUGAUAAACUGGAGGAAGGUGGGGAUGACGUCAAGUCAUCAUGGCCCUUACGACCAGGGCUACACACGUGCUACAAUGGCGCAUACAAAGAGAAGCGACCUCGCGAGAGUAAGCGGACCUCAUAAAGUGCGUCGUAGUCCGGAUUGGAGUCUGCAACUCGACUCCAUGAAGUCGGAAUCGCUAGUAAUCGUGGAUCAGAAUGCCACGGUGAAUACGUUCCCGGGCCUUGUACACACCGCCCGUCACACCAUGGGAGUGGGUUGCAAAAGAAGUAGGUAGCUUAACCUUCGGGAGGGCGCUUACCACUUUGUGAUUCAUGACUGGGGUGAAGUCGUAACAAGGUAACCGUAGGGGAACCUGCGGUUGGAUCACCUCCUUACCUUAAAGAAGC
rnacentral:rRNA from 1 species